UACGUAGGGGGCAAGCGUUGUCCGGAAUCAUUGGGCGUAAAGCGCGUGUAGGCGGUCCGGUAAGUCCGCUGUGAAAGUCGGGGGCUUAACCCUCGGAUGCCGGUGGAUACUGUCGGGCUUGAGUACGGGAAGAGGCGAGUGGAAUUCCUGGUGUAGCGGUGAAAUGCGCAGAUAUCAGGAGGAACACCAAUGCGAAGGCAGCUCGCUGGGACGUUACUGACGCUGAGACGCGAAAGCGUGGGGAGCAAACAGG
rnacentral:rRNA from 1 species